CACCCCCUACCUACCAGGAAGUCGUACGCCCCCAGACACCGGCCUCCCCCGCGCCUCCUACCCCCGCUACUUCCAUCCCCACUCCAGACCACCCCCUCCCCCUCCCGCUCCCUCGAAUUCCUCGAUGGCGCCGAUCUCCCAACCCCCUCCCCCACACCACAGCUCACCCCAUAAUACUUCCCUCCCCCCCCCCAGCCGCCCACCCCCACAGACCCCACUAUACCAAUACCAAUCUUACACUCUCUAUAUGUCCACGUGCUUAUCAAUCCACUCACAUCACUAAAUCCAACCAUCCUAAUAAACCCUAUGCCUAUAGGACUAUACAUCCUCCCAUCGCAUCCCCGCCCACCCCUACCCUCACCCAUUUUAUUACAUCCUACCCCCCACGUUUCCGACUCCAUGAGGUUGCUUCCUCUCCCGACCACAUCCCUCAUCCCUUCUCUCAUAACCACCCAACCCUACCUCUCGUAGUGUCGUCUCGACCACACGAUGGUUGACGCCCCGCCUGCCCCCGCGCCCUUCGACCGCCACCCCUCCUGAAACACAGUGCACCACCCAACUACACUCUAAAUUUAUUUCUUACUCCUCACACUUUCUACCCUAACAAAAUCAAGAUCGACCCCAGGUCACCACCCUUCCAAUUUNCUAANCCCCUAUCAUUGGGGAUCUCGCGAUAGACCUGCGCUCACAAGAAGAUGGAACCAGCUAGUAAUCGCGGAUCACCCUCCCGCCGCGAAUACGUUCCCGAGCCUUGUACACACCGCCCGUCACACCACGAGAAUUUGUAACCCCCGAAGUCGGUGGAUUAACCGUCGCGACAUAACCCCCUAAGGUGGGACAGAUGAUCCGGGUGAAGUCAUAACCUUUUUAGAACAACGGCCAUGGCGGCCGCGAGUAUAGAACGUCNGGCCCGAUCGCCCCUAUAGGAGUCGUACAUC
rnacentral:rRNA from 1 species